rnacentral:rRNA from 1 species
AUUGAACGCUGGCGGCAUGCCUUACACAUGCAAGUCGAACGGUAACGGGCCUUCGGGUGCCGACGAGUGGCGAACGGGUGAGUAAUGUAUCGGAACGUACCUUUCAGUGGGGGAUAACGUAGCGAAAGUUACGCUAAUACCGCAUAUUCUGUGAGCAGGAAAGCAGGGGAUCGCAAGACCUUGCGCUGAUUGAGCGGCCGAUAUCAGAUUAGCUAGUUGGUGAGGUAAAGGCUCACCAAGGCGACGAUCUGUAGCGGGUCUGAGAGGAUGAUCCGCCACACUGGAACUGAGACACGGUCCAGACUCCUACGGGGGGCAGCAGUGGGGAAUUUUGGACAAUGGGGGCAACCCUGAUCCGGCCAUGCCGCGUGAGUGAAGAAGGCCUUCGGGUCGUAAAGCUCUUUCGGCCGGGAAGAAAUCGCACGGGCUAAUACCCUGUGUGGAUGACGGUACCGGAAUAAGAAGCACCGGCUAACUACGUGCCAGCCGCCGCAGUAAGAC